CUCGUGGCGUUAUACCGUCGACGACCGCCGUCACCGUCGUCGCAGUUUUUGAUUUUCGAGACGUGGCUCGUACUGAUAUAAUAAUUUUCUUCAUUUUUCCGUGGUUUAGACCUUUAGGGGACCGCCUUACUGUCCAAUGUUGAUAUUUGCUACUUUAGUUUUCCCGUGUAUAACGAAAUACUUGUACGAUACAAAAUGAGUAGUCGGUUUUCGCGGUGAUAAUUCCGCGCUCGGUACUGUAUUUCUGAUCUCACGCGCCGUCUGCGAAUAUUAUGUUUUUUCGAUCGACCGCCCGCAAAAACUGUCACGUAUAAUUGUACGGCAUUCUUACUAUAUGCUAUUGUUGUCGACGACGGCGCUGUCGAGCACGAGCGUCCAUUAUGAUAAUAUUGUCGUCGUUCGGGCCGCGAAAAGAAGGGUCCGCCAAAACCAGUUGCCGGGACGCGGCACGCGUUCACCUCUGACUCGGCUGCGGGUCGCGUCGUACCGCGAUGAAUAGUCGCGCGCGCGCGCCCGCGGUUCCGGGUCCGGUUCCGUCCCCUCGGCCGCUUCAACGAAAUCGACGGACGAACGCCGCGAACAGGUAACCAGCCCAGUAUAUUCUUACCACCUAUUAUUAUUGUUAUUAUUACGCGUGUUUUGCGAUGAUACAGUUUGCUGCUUGCUUGUUUUCUGUUUGCUACUUGCGGUUAUGCCAAAACGUUUUGUCAUUUUGCCGGAUUAAGCAUUUUGCGGGCCAUAAGUUCGCAAAAAUUAGAACUAUCUGGCCCUAAUUCGAAUGUAUGAAGCAAAUUAAAUUCAUAAUAUUUUACACACUUGUGGUGUACCUAUUUAUAUUCAAGAAAAUGCUGUAUCGGACAUCACGUCUUCUUCUUCCGUGUAAAUUCGGAAUUUUCGACUAGCGAAUUAGAAUUAUAAUAGGAUUAUUAUUGUUUACUAGCAUUAUUAAUCAGAUAUUUGAAAUAUAAUGGAAAUUCCCGAUAGUUUUUCAAAAAAAAAAAAAAAAACAGAUUACAAACGACUACAUAAUGUACAUAAACAUCGUGUUAUUAUGUUUAUUGUUUUCUCGUCUUCUCGGAUAUACGAUGGAGAAAUACACGAUUUACAGUUGUCUAUAAUCUUAUUAUAUCAGAAUUGUAUUUUAAUUGUUAUUAACUAAACAUUGUUUUUUGGUGUAUAAACUAAAUUAUCCUACAUCCUACCGAGCUAUGUUACCUUUCUAAUUUUCCGCCUAGUUACUAACAGUGUUGUGUUUUAUCUAGGUAGAUUUUCGAUACAAAUAUAAUAAUAUACUAAUUGUUUUGUCUAAUUUAUAGAUAAAUAAGAAAUACGCAUUAUUUGAGAUAAAAAAAAUUGUAUCAUCUAGAUACAUUUAUGUAGAUAAAUCUUUUUAAUUCGCAAUUUUUUAUAAUUUUUAGAAACAAUAAGUAAAACAUUUAUUUUAUAAGUAUAUAGUUUAAUAAAUCAAUUAUUAAAUCAAUCACACUACCUUUUUGAAAUAUGUAGAGACCAAACUCUAGUACACUUUUACUAUGAUUUCAGCAGUUAGUUUUAUGCACAUAGGUAAUUGUCUUUUUCUUUUAUCCAUCUUAAAUGUUAUUAAUUAUUUAUCUUCAUUUACUUAUUUAAAAUUUAUUUUUACACAACAUUUUAAAUUUUAAAGACAAUGUAUUUAUUUCGCAAAUUUUCCUGGUGGGUGUAUAAACUUUAUAUGCUGUAUACAUAUAUCAAUUAUAUAUUAAUAUACUACAGUAAAAUUUAUCUAUUUAGUUAUUAAAUAGGUAUGUAUGCAAUAUUUCUCGUUUUAUUUAUAUUUUUUUUAUUAUUUAAAUGAAAAUAAAUUCAUAAACCAACAUAAGCAAUAAGAUAUUAAUACUAAAAAUACCUAAAAAUUCUUAUUUUACUCACUUUGGGGUUGAAUUUUUAAAAAUUCUUUCUUAGCAGAUACCUACGUCAUAAUAGCCAUAUAAUGUAUGCUAAAUUUCAAACAGAUCCGUUCAGUGCUUUGAACUGUACGAUCAUGAAUCAGUCAGUCAGUUAGAAUAUUAUUAUUAUGUAUACAUAGAUUAUUGUAUAAAAACCAAUAACGCAACAAAAAAAGUUUACUACAUAUCGAAUAAUUGAUUAUGAAUUCAAAAAUAAAGUGUACCAGUAAAAACCGUAUAAUAUAAUAUAGGAGAUUAAUAUCCGAUUAUACGUGUUCUAUAUACGUUCACUGAUGAUGUCAAUCAUGCAUGCAUAGAACAUAUUUCAAAACUUGCAGUUUAAAAAAAAAUGUAAAAAAAAAUGUUAUUUUCAGACGUUCCAGCAGUAUAUAGUAUAGAGGAAAAAAAUGAAGACACGGCUACAGCUCAUAUCGGUAAGUUUUUUUUUCGAUUGUACAAAAGUUUAAUCACCUUACAACAUCCUCGUUGGUAUCAUUAUUACAUGUACAUAGUUACGGUUGUUGAUUUAUUUGACAAGGAGAUAUAUGUUGUUCAUAACAUUAUUAUUGUUAAUUUAAAUAUAAACUCGUUAUGUUAUUAUCAUUAUAUAUUUAAAUAUACAUUUAUACUACUAGUCAGUAUUAAAAAUAAUAUGUUUAAAAACCAGAAAUAUAGUUCCGGUUUCCUAACUUGUUUACAUUGUAUGAUAUGACGACAUUGAGAGGCAGCCACAGUAACAUUUGUCUUCUGUGUCUAACAUAGCAAAAAAUAUAACGGGUGCACGAAUUAACCAAACUGAGAAAAGCCCUCGGAAAAUCGGUUUUAGAGAUAAAAUCCCUAUAUUUUACAAAAAUUGUAGAUGAAAAACUUUUUUUAAGGCAAGAUAGGCGAUGUCACGUGGCGUUUCGCAGUUUUUUAUUUAACUCAUUAUCGCGAAGGUUUACAAAAAUUGUUUUUCAAAUAAAUUUUUUGAUAAUAAAUGUUUCGAAAAAAACUUCGUUAACGCGAUCGUCUUCGAAAUAUCGUUUAAUAAAAUAUUUAUUGUCUAAAAAAUCGACUUCAAAGGCUUUUACUUUCGGUUUUGUGUGAACGCAUUUAUUCACUAUAGUAUUCCCCGUCUGAAAAACCGCAGAGACGACGACAAAUACCACCGCGCCGUCAUAGUAUUGUGUAUUUUACGGUUAGUGAUUUAUCGAAAAUGAACGUACCGCCGCCGCCGCCGUGUUUGAUUAAUCCGACACUAAAGGCGCUCUUUAAUGUUAUAAUAUAAUAUUAUCAUCAAGUAUAUUUCAUUAUAAUCGCGCAAAACGUUCAUCGAUAUUAGUAUCGAAAGAAAAAAAAAUGUGCAUCGUAUAUACACCGUAUUAUUAUAUCAUAUACGCUUCAAUUAUGGAUAAAAAAAAAAAAAAACCCCGGGCGAUUUAUUAUUCCGAAAAUUAUAUUAUGUUGAACAGAAACAUCGUGCUGAAUAUUCAUCAUCAUAUUUUAUUUACACCGGUCAAAACAAACAACAAGUAUCGCGGAUCCGUAUAGAAUAAUUUUAGAACGAGGAAUAUCAUAAUAUAACAUGCAGAGUGUAAAUAAUAAAUUAUUUAUGCAAAAUAAAUUAUUAAUAAACGUAAACAACGAAAAUAAAAACUUGAAAUGGAUAGGUAUCGGUAGGUAUAAACGUACAAUAUGUUAUUAAACAGCUGAUGACAAAUUUGUUGACGACUAUUUGUGUGAUGUACCAUACAAGUACCUAUAGUACCUAUUUUUUGUUCAUAAUAUUAGAAAUUUGUAGUAAAAUUCAAAUUUCACACACAAAAGAUAACUUAUAAAAGUAUAAAUUAUCGAGAUAUUAUCAUAAAAUAAAUCUUAAUCCAUUCCAAAAUUAUGUAGGAAAUUUUUAGAUAUAAACUAUUAUAUCUAAUUAAUCUUACUUAAUUACUUAAUUAAAAGAUUACUAUUAUAUAAACUAUAGUCGGUACAUUCAAGUAAUUUUUUUAGUUUUCUUUACAGCUUUCUUAAAAAAUUGAAAAAAUUUGUAGGUAUUAGAAAAAUUGUUGUUGGUUUCUGGGUUACCUUGGAAACAAGGAAAAAAAUACGACUACAAUAGCUAAUCUUUUUGUAAGCAAUGGUUUAUUGUUGCAAACAGAUAUAAAUUAGAUUAUUUUAUACAUCCUCCAUUCCUACUUCUCUCCUUAAACAAUGUUCUCAGCCAUCAGCUGUCUCAAACAAUUCACAUUUUUUUUUAUUAAAUAAUUAUCGUUUUAUAGUUAUUUUUUUAUUGUGCUUAUAUUUUAUAAAUAUAUAACAUUAAAACAAUUUUGUAAAUUACAAAAUUAAUUUGUAAGCUAAAUUCAGCCAAAAUUAUUAAAUUAAAUUAGUUAUAAUUGGGUAUUCGUGAAACAUGAAUUGUUGGUGAAUCUCAUUUUAAAUGUAGUGUAUAGAAGGUUGUGCAAAGUGGAAUAAGUAAUAGUAUGAGUUUGAAAGGAACACUACCUAUAUAAUAAUAUAUUCAUUUUCUUGGCAUACAAUUAUAUAAAUAAUAUAAAAAAUACAGACAUAUUUCGAACGUGGGCGCAGACAUAAAUGUAGGUGGGAAGUUGAGAAGGUAGGAUACAGAUAGGAAUUUAAUGUAUAUCAGUAAGCAACAAUAAGCUAUUGCUAGCAAAAACACGAUUCUGAGCGGAGUUCAGUUGAUAGUGUUGCUUUGUCAACAGUACAAUAUAUGGUAUAUGCCAUAUAAUGGUACAAUUAUUACAAUGAUUGUUUAUAAAAGAUUAAAACAAUAAAAACUUAAUGAUAAUAAAAAAUAAAUAAAAACGGUUGCCAAUGAUAACCUUAUUUUAGAUUCUGAGUGGAGCGAGGAAUGUAUUGGUUUUACAAUGUUUUUUAUUUUUAUUUAUUUUUUAUGUAAACAUAUUUUCAACCAGAAACCAUUCUCCGAAUAUCAAGUAUAGGACCUUUUUAGAAAGGAAAUGUUCUCUGAGUGGUACUUUAGAGUGGAUUUUUUUAAAUAAUUACUGAUCCAGAGGAAUAUUAUAUUUUAAACAACAACCCCGGUAUUGGAAAAUUCCUAUUACUCGACACACUUAUUUAGUUUAAAAUUAUAUAUUUUAUUCAUCGUGAAAAAUAAUGCUAUCUACGGAAUGAUUAUAAAAUAUAAUAAUAUCUAUUCCAAUCUUAACAAAAUGGAAAAUGUAUUUUCACAUCAGAAAGCAACGAUAAAGACACAUAGUACAGUAAUGGGACAUAAUAUUAAUUCCAGGAUGUUGCAUAUCGUGCAUAAUACUCGUAAGGGGGGAGGAUUGUAGCAGGCUAAAAAUUUAAUUAUUUAUAAUAGGUUUUUUCCUUUUUUUUUUUUUUUUUGACGUGUUUCGUUAUUGUCCGGCUUAUUCCGGAUUUCUGAGAGGAAUAAAUAACAGGACGGCGGCGUUGGCGGGUUCGGAGGUUUUUCCGGUUGAAUAAUGUGUCUCGCUUAGUUUUCAGUCGAGUUGAAUUAGAGACUGCACAUAAAGAAACGGUAUAAUAUAGCAGGACGUUUUUCCCGGACAAUAAUUCUGCCGGGACCGCCGAGUUUUUCCCGGGGUUUCUCGCAAUAAAUUAAACGGAAGUGAGCUGAACAAAAAACAAAAAAAAAACUGUUCGGUCGGGGUAGUAAAAAAAAAAAAAUCGUAUAUUAAAAAAUCCUGCUUACUGUAGCGUUACGUUAAUGACUGCCGGGUUGAAAUUCUUGCGCACAAGUGGUGCGAGGGAGGAGUGGACCCUUUUUUUUAUUUAUUUAUUUUUUUUUGUUUUGCGAACGGGACAGGCGGCGCGUAGUACUGUGCAAACAUUACGGCGUUAUCUUCUGGUCCGGGUAAAAAUAAAUCGCUUUGGACCGCGGCGAAAAAAAAAAGGGUAAAAAGCCCUUAGUUUUGCAAUCCUUUAAAGGGACCUGGUCGGUGAGCCCAGAGGAAGAAGAGGGGGAGAGAGGUAGGGGAGAGGAGAGGUAGGAGUGCGCGGUAGUAUUACUCUACGCGUAUAUAUAACACAUAUAAUACGCCCCACUAUCCCUUAACACAAGGGUAGUUUUUAGGGUAAAGCCACCGGAGCGUCGGCCAUCUUUCAGUCGAUAAAGCGUGCGGGCCGCGGGCUUUGUGCGCAAACUCGUGCGGAAAACGCAGUACACGAAAACGAAAAAAAAAAAGAAUAAUAUUAAAAGUUUCGCCUGCGAGGAAGAAAUACGGGCGUACCUUGUGUAUGAUAAUAAUAAUAAUUAUUUUUAUUUCCCGAGUCUUGUAUCGGACGAAAUCCCAAACCAACCGUCGGCGUUUAUAUACGUAUAAGCUUUCAGGUCACCCUCGAAUAUCGCGAUAAUUUCUCGUUUUCCUGAUACGCACGAUCGUCACCACACCGCAUCAAUUCCCUAACACCACCCGGAUUACGUACCUAUACGUAUUUUAUCCGGUAUAGCGAGUUUACGUUUGACCGGUAUCCCUUAAAAAAUAAACGCUGAAAUCGUUCGACAAAAAAAAAAAAAAGGCCUCACGGUAGAUAUAUAUUAUAUAGGUAUUCGUAUGUUCACAGAUCGAAGGUUCUCGUAAUCCGCAAUAUUUUCGAAAUUAACAAAUCGUUGUAUAAUUAAUGAACUAAAUUCUAAAUCGGGUUAUCAGCGUAUUUAGGUAUACGAAAAAACGAUAGAACUCGAGUAUAAUUCUAUUAUAUUGAAAAUAAUACGCAUACAAAAAAUAUAUAAAAUAACAACGUUUAACAUAAUAAAUAUCAUUAAAAAAUGCUAUAAACAGAUAAAAUAAAGUAAGCGAGUUUUCUGAUGUAUUCGAUAUUGAUUAUAAGGAUGAGUAUAAACAAUAUAAAUUAAUUAAGUUUAUAUUAUGAAAAAUAUAUUAUAUUAUAUGUACUUAUAUUAAAAUUUUAACAAUUAUUGAAAUAAUACUAUAAUUUUAAUUCAUUUUAAUUGUAUACAACAUAAAUGAACAUUAUUUAUAUGUAUUACAAAUAGGUAUAUACAUAGAUAGGACUAAAUUUGAGUGGGGGGGAGAUUAAAGGGUCAACCGUCCCAUGUAUUAAAUUUUCGGAGGUUGUAAUUUAUUACAAAAUUGGUAUAAUAUAAUAAUAAUUAGUUAGGAAAUAAAGUAACGGUAAUAUAUAAAACAUUUUGUACGAAUUCCAAACUGAUUAAAAUUUGGAAUGAAUAAAAUUAAAGUCAGUUUUCUUAUAGUAAUCGAAAAAUAUAGAAAAGUAGGGAGUGGGCAAUUGUUUUGCAAUUGGAUUCAACAUUUCUAAAUUCAGCUCUGUACAUAAUUAGUUACAAAAUAUGUAUGUAGCUAUGUACGUAUUAUAUUAUCUAGUCAUCGAAGCACUGUUUCUUGGUAUACCUAAAACGAUAACCACCUGGUUUUUUAAUUAAAUUUGCCGAUGAUACGGCAAUUUGGUAAUUUCGAAAAUUAAUUUAAGAGUUUCUUAUUUUUUGGCAUAAUUUAGGAGUCGAUCCGAUAAAAUGAAAAGUUCAGAGACGUUGCAAACUGGAAAUUGAAAAAUACACCCAUGAGCAGUAGAACUCUGCCCUAUAGAGUCCAGUUUUUCCAUAUCUAUUUCUAUAGUACAGAAAUAUUCUUCGUAAAACAUUAUAUAACCGAAUACAAUUUAUUUUACUACGGCUAAGUAUACUAUUUCUCAAAAAAUUACUUCUUUCGGUGGGAAUGGAGGUCGGUAGGAUUUUUUAAAAUGUUUAAAGCACUAAAAAAAAUACUUUUCUUUUACUACAAUAUUGUGAAAUUCAUAUAGAAACUCGACCCAAAUUUUAUUAUUUCAAUCUACCUAAAAAAGAACCCUAAUUACCGAGUUUAAGCUGGUUUGGUCUAGAACGAACUAUUAAGUAUCCAAGAGUAGCGAUAAAUAAAUACAUAUAUAAAUGCAGAAUGAUGAGCGAUUCGAUAACUCGAUACCUUCGAUACGCAAAACAGUAUCGAAUAUCAAAAUUAAGGUAAUUUUUGUCAUAGAUUUUUACGUGUUAUUAUAUUGAAAUACGAAGUGAUAACGUUGUGGAUAAAUAUCUGAUCAAAUAAAAUAAAUUAGUGUUUUUUUUUUUUUUUUUUUAAUUUAUUUGUGUGUUUUUACAUUUAAAUUAUCAAUGGUAUAGUUUUGAAAAUGAUAAAUUAAUGAAUAAUAUAUUAAUAUUUGUGUAUUUUGUUUUCGAUUAUAAAAAAAAAAUAUUAAAAAUCGAGUAUCGAGUUCUAAUUGUUUGGUAUCACCAAUCUAUAAUAUAAAUAUAUUAUUCUAUUAAAUAGCAUACAAAGAGGAAAACUUUAAAAUAAAUAUUAAACAACUAACCCCUUAAAUUAAUAUAUUUAACUACAUUAACUACAUAUACCUACCUAUAUAUAAGUACUUCAGAUACCAUCGGUGUUGCACCGAAUAUCAAUAUGCUUACUAAAAAAUCGGCUAUGAUGAGUAAAUAUACUCGACCAACAGGCAGCUGCCGAGUCCAUUAGUAAUAUAUUAAUCGGCUGAACGACAUCGUCCCGAGAGAAUAAAAAAAAAAGGCAAAAACCGUUUAAUUUGUCGAUAAUAAUUGACCAAUAUCUGUAUACACACUUGCAUACAAACAUAAAAACUAUUUAAAAAUAAACUGUACAAAAAGUUGAUAACGGUUUUUUCCCCCAUAAUAUUACAAGUAUUUGGAAUAUUGAAUUUUAACAACAAAAUCUUAAGUAACUUGAUAUACGAAGUUAAAAAAAUAAAUCCUCAACUACUGAUGGAUAUUCAAGUAUUUUAUAAGGGAAGCUGAAAGGGAGGAUAUUUAGAUCAAUUAAAUUUAUAUCUGUAUUCAAUGAUAAACCAUUGUUAAUGAAAAGUGAUUCUGAUCAGAGAUUUAUAAGUUGUAGAAGUAGUCCUUUGCUGCAGAAGUAAAUCGGAUAUCAAUAAAAAUUGUACAAAUAAUUUUCCAGUUUUUCUCAUUUAUUAAGAACACUAUAAUGGAAAUCCAAAAAUAACCUCUUCGAUACAAUAAAUUAAUAAAAAAUUAUACAAGAAAGUACUUAUUACAUUUUUGAAUAAAGCAAAAUUUCUGAUACAAAAAUUGUUUAUAGACAUAAAAAAAAAAAAACACAUCCCUGCUUCGCACAGAAUCUGAAAUAUAUACAUGAAAAUAAUUGAUUUCCAUAAUAGUGUUUAAUAUUAUACAAUUAAUUUAUUAUAGCGUGUACAAGAAAUAAAAUACUGGUGUUAUUUAAUUUCAUACGAUUAUAAUAUUGUUUUACGAAAAUGUAGGUAAAUUAUAUUACCAUUUUAUAUGAUAAAUACUAAAAUUAACAUGUGUUUCCACUAUAUUCUAUGAAAACACAUGUAAAUUAUACGUAUGUGUAAAAUUUAAUUCGUUUGUUAUAUAUAUGAAAAAAAAAAUAAUAAACCGUUUUGUCUAUAUGAACACCUCGUUUAAUUUAUCGGUAUUAUUGUAUAAAUAUGAAAUAAAUCAAUAUUAUAUCACAUCGUUUUCCCCCCUAAAAAUUAGGUAAAGUAAAAUGUUUAUUAAUAUUGUACAAAAAAUAUUGUACAUGAAAUUAAAUAUUUAUUAAAAUAUCACUUAAACCUUUAUGCUUUAUAAAUAACAAUUAGUUGCGGCUAAAUAUAAAAUAAGACGGGCAUACUUCGUACGAUAAAUGGGCCACUGUUGUAGGUGAGAAAUCGAAAAGGUAGGAUAGGUAGAAGAUAAUUUAAUUUAUAUCUGUACAAAACAAUAAACCAUCGCAAAUAAAAAACGAUUCGGAGCAAAGUUUCUUUUAUACAUGCACGUACAUUUUCCCGAUAUUUUCACAUUAUUAUGAAAACCACUUGGAAAAUCAAAAAAUUACCAUUCUAAAUUAUCACCAUAGUCCAAUUUCCUUUAAAAAAGUGUUACAUUUGAAAAUCAGAGCAAGAUUUCUAGUAGAAAAGUUGUUCACAGAUAAAAAAAUAAAUAUCAUUGUAUAACCAAUACAUUUCUCGCUACACUCCAAAUUUUUAAGUAAAUGUAAAUGAAAUUAUUAUUUAAAUUUUAACAUUUUUUAUUUAAACACUUUAAUUUCUUCCCAACUUGUUACAUUUUUUUUUUAGAUUUUGUGUUAUACUGUCAUUUUUUUACUGUCUUGUUUUACUAUGAUAUUUUUUUUUUUUUAACAUUUGGCAAAUGAAAUUGUUUGCUGAUAUUUUACACACAGAACUUUCAAAAUUAGACAACGUUUUCUAGACAUUUAAAAAAAAAAAAAACUGACAACGAACCAUGGCGUAUUGGUUUUGUAUUUGAUAAUUCCUAGAUUACACUUUGAUUAGAUACAGAGAGGUGGGACAUAACUAAUACAACGAAUGUAAUAAUCUUAUUAAUUAUUACCUAUUAUUUUACUAAACUCCUAAAUGAAUCGUUCUUUAGAUUUCAAUGGUUUAUCAUUACACUAAGCAUAUAUAAUUAAAUUACCUACGGCGAAAAGUAUAUCAACCGGAUUUUUUAAUAUAUACUAUUAUUGCUUUAUACAACAUAAAUUAAGAGUGAAAAAAUGUGAAAAAAUACAGUAAUUGUAAACUAAAUAUAAAAAUAUACAAUAAUAUGAUAAAUUGAUAACUUGAUUUUUUUUUCAAUCACAUUGUUCUGAAAAUAUAAAAUAUAUACUUAUAUAUAUAUAUUUUUGUAUUUAUUUAACUAACUAAGCCGCGUGCAAAAUGAUUAUGUUUUUUAAGUUCUAUCUCACGAACGUUGUGUAACGGUUGUGGCCGGCGGGGGGGGGAGGGUGAGGUUUUUUUAUCGCUUCAUUAAAAUUUCCAUCAAAUGCAGUAAAAUAUUAUUAUAUUAUAUGAAAAGAACGGGUAUCUUUUUUGUGUGAAAUCAUUGGUGUGUUAAUGAAGUAGGGGAUUGAGGGAGUUAUUUUUCACCGCUAUACUAUAUAUAUAUAUAUAUAUAUAUACAUACAUUAUACAAUAUACAUAUAUGUAUACCUACCACCAAAAGGCAUAUAGUAUAACACAAAAUAAUAAUAGUAUCGUUAAAUAUAGCUGAUGAAAUCUUUGAUAUCCAAGAGUGUUUAUGAAAAUAUUUUAUUAUAAGUACCGCAUAUUUAACGUAUUUAUCAUCAAUACAACGGCGUAAUUCGUUUCAAAAAGAAUAACAUUGUUGAUAAAAACACACAUUUCAUAAAACAGUUAUGGUAUAUACAAGAACAAUAUUAAAUUUCUCUAAAAUAUACUUGUUUACCGUUCGAAAAUAUCAAAAUAUCAGCGCGUUCAUUAAACGGCAUUUGUAUUUGCCGCGCGCGAAUCAAUUUACAUGGAUUGUUCGAUUAUUUUUACAAUAAUUACACAAACUACUCGCUAUUUUUAUUUUUCGCAAAAAUAUAAUUAUUUUAUAUAAAAAAAAAAAGUAUAUAAUGCUUACGGGUAGGCCAUUGUUGUAGAUCGAUUGUCGGGAAGAUAGGAUGUUGUACGCAAUGGUAAAUCAAUGUAAAUUAAAAAAAUCUAUUCUGAUCGGAAUAGUAUUAAUCGUGUUUUUCCCCUGUUAUCAAAAAGGUAACUCAGAAAUCAACAAAAUUAGAAAAAUGUUGUUUCAAUAAAAAAAAAUACAAAUCAAUGUUUAGUAAAAGUAAAGGGUAUUCCAAAUUGUUUUUUUUCAAAUAACGUACGUCCAACGGAAAUAUCCACAUCUCUUAAGGCAUUACGUUACAAAGCAGAUAAUUUUUGUUAACUGCUAAUAUGUUUUCAAAUAAAAUAAAAAAACACAUACCUAUCUUUAAAUUUAUACAUUUUUUAUUUAUAUAUUUAUUUACUUAUAUUAACCCUUUUAAUAAUUUUGUUUUUACUUUAUUAUUUUAUUAAAUAUCUUUAUACAAAUUGCAGAUGUAGCUUCUUUCAUCAUACUAUCAGAAUCUAAAAACGCUGGACAUCUUAAUAUCACUAAGGUAGGCCACUGCUAUAGAUGAAAGUUUCAAAUAGUUAUAGGAGACAUCGAAUAAUUAAGUUUAAACGAGUAUACUGAAAAUGUAUACACUAAAUAAAUUGAAGUAUGGGCCCCCUUAUUAACUAUAAAGUGAAAUUGAGAUAAAUAUAAAAAUAUAAUCAAACUCAAAACAAAACUACUGGUUCAGAUGACGUUAUCUCUGAAACGAUAAAAGCAAUCGGGGGAAGAGGGAUUGAUAUAAUCUACAAAGUUCGCUCCAAGGUAUGGAUUAUAGGUGAAUGGCCAAAGAAAUUUUAUGAGUCCAUAUACAUCCUUAUUCAUAACAAAUAGAUGGAUAGUUAAAAAAGAUACGCGAGAAUGGAAUAGGGAAUUGUCCAUUGGUGGUAAGAAAAUUUAAAGUUUAAGAUAUGCUGAUGAUAUGAUGUUUCUGGUAAAGGCAGAAAUGGAAAUGACUAAUUUCUUUAAAAUAAUAGAAAAAUAGGUCAUAAAGACAAUUAAUAAUGGAUGUUUUUAAAAUAAAAUUAAGAGUCUGUAUGGCGAAUACUGCUAUUACAAAUUGUUAAAAUAUGGAAGGAUAGUAAUAUCAAGAAGGUAACCAAGUUAUACUUAAUGAAAACACUAAUAUUUUCUAUAAUGAAGUAUGGCUUGGUUAAUGAAGAAUAGAAGCAUUUAAAAUAACUAUAAAUAGAAGAAUGGUGCGAAUACUAUAUGGACAGACCGUAUAACAAAAAUAUCAAUAAUAUAAGAACUUUCAAUACAAGCCUAAAACUGCCUCUUGUACAGAAUUCAAUUUUAAAUACUUAAAUUGGUUGACUAAAUGAUAAGAAAAAACGGUAUUGAAAAGUUUAAUAUACAAGAAAAAAUCGAAAGAAAAAGCAACAAAGGUAAGCUUCCUAUUCGCUACAUAAACCAAAUUAAAACACACAGAAAAUACCUGACAAAUAAAGGUUGGUGAGAUCUGAAAAAUAUAACUAAUCGGAAUAAUAUGUUUGCAUUAAAAUCACGAUAACGUACAAAAUCAAACAACGAAUAAAAAAAGUUGCUGAUGAAAGCAACGAUAAUUUAUUGCAGUAAAAAAAAAAAAAAAUUAAAUUCACUAAUCUAAUACUGAUUGUGUUCCUCCUUUGUAAUCCUUAGCAGUAUUAUCGUCUUUUGUUGUCAGUUUAUUUAUUUGGUUUUUUUUUUAUUUUAGAAAAAAUUGUUAAGAAGCUAGAAGAAAGUUUCAAAUAAUGAACUAUCAGGCGAAAAAUCCAAAACGUUUAAGUGUGCAGUGUGAAAGCAUCUUAGCAUUUUUACUAACAAAAAAGGUGUUUUCCGAAAUAACAUGAAACACAUUUUAUAAUAAAACUAUGCUAUAGUUUGUUUCACUAAGCUCGGAAUCUAAAAAAAUAGUUAAAUCGAUUUGAGCGUUCGAGAAAAAUAAUUAUAAUUUCCAUAUUUCGCAGUUAUUUUGUUGUUAUAACAAUAAUUGAUUAACUAAAUAAAAAAACCACUCUGGAUUCCACGAAAUAAAUUACAUAUAUUAACGUUUAUGCUAUAUACAUAUAUAUAUAUAUAUAUAUAUAUAUGCAAAUGAUUCAUAUACACUAUGUAGACCGAUAAAAUAUACUACCUACGUAUUUUUAAUUAUUGAAUAUGAUAGCGAUUAUAAUUAAAAAUUGUCUUAUUAAUAUUCCGGUUAAUACACUGCAGUAAGUUAAUUAUAAAAAUAUAGGUAUAUAUAUACAUAUUUACAAAAUAUAGUUUUAUGUUCAUCAUUAAUAAUAAUGCGGCGAACAGAAAUACGUACGUUACUGCCCGUACUAUAAAACGAAUACAAUUACUGUAGUAAUUUAAAAUAUUAUAAUUCACUUAUGAAUACAAUAAUCGCGUUCUCGUCUCGUUACUGCAGCAGUAUUUCAAAUAAUUACUAUAUCUAUAUACCAUAUUAUAUACCGUAGAAUAUUCUAUAGUCGGCGAGAAAAUGUUUAUUCAUUUGAUAUGCCUUACUGUGACCCAUUUCCAUCGUUUUAUAUACUCGCAGUUUAAUGUAGACUAAAUAAAUCAAUAAAACACGGGCACGUAGUCAUAUUUAAUACUUUUAUACGUCUAUAUAAUAUAUAGGGACUAUUCCUUAUAAUAUGACAUUUACAUUUUACCUUUGAGUUAAAAUUUGUUUUAAUAACCAGUUAAAUAAGCACAAUGGUCAUUUUUUACUUCAACAUAUAAAACAUAUUAUUCUACUUCUGAAAAAUGUAUUGCUUAUAGUUUUUUUUUUGUUUACUAAUAAUAUAAUUAAAACGACGUCCUAGGGUAAUAAUGACGGAUGCAGUCACUGUUAUAAAUAAUUUAAUGUGUAGCUGCUAGAAACGAUAAGCCAUUGCUUACGAAAAACCUAAUCUGAGCGGAGUUCAGUUGAUAGUGAUGCUUUGUCAACAAUAUAUAUGUCAUUCUAUAGUUAAAUAAUUGAAUAGGCUUUAUAUAUUUUCUUUAAUAGUAUUUGUUUAAUAAUGUGUACCGAUUUUCUCAAUUUUCUUACGUUUUUUCCGGUUUCCCAUUUUUUAUCCCGGUUUUUCAAAUUUGCUGGGAAAACUCUUGAGAAAAUCGAAAAAUGACCUCUCUAAGGUACCGUCCUAGAGAAAUUUUCUUUUAGAAACAUUGCUAUCGUUAAAAAUUGAAGUGAAAUCGCUGGUAGAAAAGUUAUUAACAGAUAAAAUAAAACAUCUUUGUAAAACCAUUGUUUCUUUGCUUCACUCAGAAUUUAAAAUUAAAAACGUAAUAAUUAUAAAUAUUUGAAUAUGUAUAGCUGAUAAUGAUUUAUUCACUUAUUAUUGGUUAUUGGGGGUAAACAUUUUGCAAUCAAUAAAUAUGCUUACAAAAUGAUUAGCUAUUAUUAAAAAUAUUAUUUUGAAGGUCCUUAUGUAAACAUUUUGGAAAUGAAAAAUAUUACAACCUGUACAUUAAACAGUGGUUUUAGGACGUACUUACUGAUUAUACGGAAACAGUAGGAAAAUAAUCUAAUAAAAUGUGUAGAUUAGAAAAUUGUGAAUGAGUUGCACUUGGGCCCCGCCACUUACUCGUUAUUGAAUUUUAGCCAUAACAUAUUUAUACAAAAUAAUUGAUUUUAAAUUUAAUAAUUCCGAUUAAAUAAAUUUAAUGAGUAAUGAUUUCAUUAUUUUAAAUUUUUCGGUUUUUUUCUCAUCGAGAAAUACAAGUCUAAUCGAAAAACAACGAGACUUUUUUUUUUAUUAUUUUGGUAUGUUUGAUUGUUCGGAGUUCUUAUCACAAAUUAGUCGUAAAAACCCCGCUUUUAGAAAUAUAUUAUAUAUUUAUGUCCCCCCCCUAGUAAUCGAAAUUACGUUAUAAAUAGUCCGCUAUACUAUUUGCCUAAGACAUGUAAUGAACUUGUCAAUUUUUAUUUUUAUUUUGAUUCGUCUUCUAAAUUAAAAUGGCUUGUAUUUACUUAAUUAUAUCUUUUAUUUUUCAUUUAAAAUUCAUUUUUUUUAAGCAUUGAAAUAUCGCUGUACCUUAUCUCUUGCGGGUGUUAGUUAAAAUUAUUAUUAUUAUUAUUGAUUUUGCAUAUGGUUUUCUUUAUAAUUAAGUAAAACCGGAAAAAACGAGGAAAGAACGAGAAAAUGUAUAGAAAUUAUGGUUUCAUUUAUAAACUUCGCUCAGAAGUAUAAAUUAAAUAACAUUAUAUAUUAUCCUACUUUCCCACCUACAACAUUAUCAGUUUUUGUUUUGUAUUGUAUAUUUGUGAUGUGUAGGCAUUUUUUUUACAUAUAGAGUGUGUCAUAUAUUGUAAUACUCAAAUCACAUUACAUUUGUAUCUGUUUUAAUUACCCGUUAACUAUACUGUCUAAAUUUAAACGUUUUGUUUAAAAUUAGAGGUUAUUUUUAACUUAUCAAUGUUUUAAAAACAUAUUAAUGUGUAGUCUUCGAUGAAUCUUCCACAAAAGAAUACAGAUUUGUAUAACUCAAGUAAGAAUAUGAGCAUAGUUAAUAUUUUAUAUUUUUAAAUGCUGAAAUAAGACGUCAAGUUAAUGAAUAUUUGCAAACGAGGAUAAAAUAAUAUUAUAAACUUUAUUAACCAAUAAUAAUGCAAGUUUGAGAAGUACGCAUUUCAGUAGGAAAUUAUAAUCUCUAUAAUCUAUGACCGCGAUGAUAUAACAAGAUUUGAACGAGACUAUUAAAAAAAAAAACCCUUUUUUUACGAAUGUGACCAGGUAUAAUAUAGGUAUAUAUGUUUAAAAAAAUAAUAUAGAACAUGAAAAAACAUAUACACAAUCAAAGUUUACGAGUAUUAGCUAUACAAAUUAUUAUCGGGGAUAAAUGUACAGAUCCGCGUGCGUGCGUGCGUUUAUUCGUGAAAAACAAAAUGGUUUUUACCGAAUAUUACUAUAAUACGUAUACUUGCGUAUAUACAUAACUGCAGAAUAUUAUCGCGUAUACAAUAGUACACCAUUAAAAAAAAUACAGAGCGCUGUGUACAGUGCGCCUAAGUAUACGAUAAUAAAAAAAAACUCGCACAUCGUGGCGAUUUUCAAUUUGUGUGCGUUUUUUAUUUUUAUUUUUUUUAAUUAUUCGUAGAAAAUAGCAUAGCAUCACUGAAUGAAAAAAACAAAAUAAAUAUAUAAAUUCCAUCCAUAGAAACGCAUUGCAACUCAACGCGUAUACCCCAUGAUAUAUGCACAUGCAGAGUGCGUACAAAGUUUUAUUGCUGUCUCAUUUUUAUUUGUUAUUCUUUUUUCGCUCGUUCGUCGUCUAACAAAGAUUUAUAAUACGUUAUACCGUUAAAUUCACCGCGGAAUCGUAACUACGAGCCUCGUCGUACAAUGUAUACACUAGCGUAUUUUAUACAUAUAUUUUUAUGUGAAAAAACCCCGGAGAGAGAAAAUGCGAGUUUUGUUCUGCGCAUGUGCGCCUAUAUAUAUAUAUAUAUAUAUAUAUAUAUAUAUAUACACGAGUAUAAUACGGUCCAAAGGCAGAGGGUAAAAAGUUGAGAGAAACAUUUUCCCUUUAUACACGUUUUUUUGCCGACCGGUCGGCCGACAGCGCGUGCGUGUGUGAGUUUUUUUACAGACGGGUCGAAUACUGGCAGCGUCACUAAUCCAACAGAAAGUUUUCCCCUAUUAAAAAAAAAAAAAAAAAAACCCGGACCAUCAGAGAAGGUAUAUGUAUAUAUAAAUACGUGUGUGCAGUGCAAGCGCUCUCUGGUUGGGCGGGGUACCGGGGGGUAGAUAUGAAAAAAAUUACAGAGGAAAAUCCUUGGGCGGAGGAGGAGAAGAUGGACAUAUAUGGGGACGAGGGGAGGUAAAAAAGUAAAAAAGGACCGGUCGGCGGCGAUGGCGGCGGGCGGGGAGACCGCUCUUGGGCGUGGUCGGUCUGGGGUAUGUAUGUAUGUGUGUGCGUGUGUAUGUGUGCUUAUGUGUGUGUGCGCGCGUACGUAAAUAUAUAUACGCGUAUAUAUAAAAAAAGACCCCGGGAAAAGUGUCGGGAAAAGGUUGAAAAACGAGUUGCCAUGUUUCCCUCUCUCGGGGGAUUCUGAGAGAGGCGCGUAGUCCCUCUCAGCUCUUGUGAGGGUCUAAUUACAAAGCCCCCGGACGCCGGUCACGAAAUACUAAUUACUCGGGACGGGGCAAAUAUUAUAAUAAUAAUAAUAAUAUGUACGUAUAUAUUAUACAUAUAUAGAGGAACAGACUUAGGCUACGUUGGGUUGAAUUUAUAAAAAAAAAAAAAAGAAAAAUCUAAAAACGCCAAUGGCUGCAUGCAAUAAAGUGAAAGGUUAUUUUUUUUAUUUUUUGUAAGGGGUUUUCUUUUUAUUACGUCAUUUUUCAUAUUAUUUGUUAUAAUAUUAUUAUGAAAAAUGAUAAUUCAUUUUUUCGCCGUCGAAAACCGCACACACACACUUUGUAUAGUUUUUAUUAUUCUAAUCUAUUGCGAUAUUUUUGAUCGAUUGCCUGCAGUCUGCAGAGUCCGAUCCCUUGUCCGGUAAGUUUCCUUUGAAAUAUUAAUAAUUAAAUAUCAAGAUGAUGAACAUACUUUUAAUAUUAUACUAUUGAUAAUGAUCAGAGCAUAGACUUAUCUAAUAUACUCAGGUAUAAGCUGGCAUAAGUUCUCUAGAUUAUUUUUUUAAGUUAUGAAAAUUGUUCAUGCUUUCACAAUACGUCUUAUAACUAACUUGUCGAACCUUUAUUUGUAUCAAUAUUUCACUAAACUUUUUUCAUUAAAAACUAUCAAUAGUGAUAAAAAUAUUAAAAUAAAUAAAUCUUUGUUCAAUUUUUAUGUGUCUGAAUUAUAUAGUUAUGAAAUUAGUUUAUAUUUUGACUUUACUUAAUUAUUUUAAAUAUAUUUAUUGUAUAAACAAUAAAAAAAUAACUCUCUACUUUCAAUACAAGCUUUACUUAUAGACAGAAGAUAAACCAAAAUAUUUUACAAAUUACUUGUAUGUAUAUUGUUUAAUAAACGAUCAUUAUAAAAAAAAAAAAAAUGAUUUGACUAAUUAGGAAAACUAGAAUCAAAAUUAUUAUGUUCCAAAAAAUGGAAAAAUUAGUAGGUGACACUGUUUUAUAGGAUUUUUAAAUGUGAAUCGGUCGAUUUCAAAACGCACAAGAAUAGUUCUAAAUUCAGCCGGAAAAUGUAGUGGUUUGUGUUAAAACUAACAAGUUUCAUUAGAUCAUGCGAGUUUUGAUACUGAACAUUUCUAACCUGCGUCAAAAAUUAUAUGGUUUAUGUAAUAUGAAAAAUUAUAUGUUUCAUUUAAUUUCAUUAUCAUAACUCUACACGUGUUCUGUAUUUUAGAGUCAAAACUGACGUAAGUUAAUCUAGAACCUCAUAAAAAUAUAAACAACGACUAAAAUAUUUUUCAUUUAUCAUUUAUCGUAUUAUAAUUAAUAAUUGGAUUGAUUAUUUUUGGUUUUCACUUGCUAGAAAUAAAUAAUAGAACCAUUAUAAUCUUUCCGAAAAUUUGUAUAUACUAUAUAUAGGGGUGCCCACGUUAGAUUUUAAUAUGAUCCUCACUUUAAUUUCAAAUCGUCAAUUAAUUAUACAUAAUAUUAUGAGAAAACAUUUUUUUUAAGAUCAUAAAACUACAAAAUAUUAAAAAUUAAAAAAAGUUUAAAUAUUAGGUACUUAGUAGUAUACAAUAUUAAAUGCAAGUAUUAUAUUUAUCAGGAUCCUAUAGUGAUAAAGAAACUAAUGUAAUUAAAAAACCAUACAAUUAUUUUAAAAUUGUUUUCUUUUAAUCAUAAAUAUAUAUAUUUUAUUCUUGUAAUAAUACAUUAUAAUAGUUCGUCAAAAUAUGUCUACUCAUUAUUCGCUAUGGUAAACUCAUAAAUAAAAUGAAUUUGUCCCACAACUACUUCUAUUUAUAUGAUGUGGCCCAGUCCUCACAAAAAAUUGAACACAUUUGUACUAUAGUAUCGAUGAAAAUUAUUAUUCGUUAAUGCUGAAAACUGUAUAUUUAUACCGUAUAAUUUCCCUUUAAAAUACUCCGAUAUUUUAAAACUGAAUAUAGUAAAAAGUACAAUAUUUGAUUGAAAUUGAUACAACAGUUCCACUUUAAAUGCCGAUUCGAAACUGUUUACCCCAAUCCCUUGAAAUGCAAUAAACUUUUAUCAGACGAUUAAUUAUUAUUGCAGAAAUAUUAAAAUGGAAUUUUAUCAAUAAAUUCGAAAUUAUUUCAUAAAUUCGCAGUAAACGAGUAAAAAUCGAACAAUAGUUAUUGAACCAAAGUACAGUGAUCACUGCUUAAAAUGAUCGCAUUCGUCCGAGAGUAUUUUAAUCACUAUAACCGGAAAUAACUAUAUAUGGCGACUCGAGAAACAGUUAAAAAUUAUUAGAAAAAUAAUUGUGUAUUCAUAAAAAUAAUAUAACAAAUAUACAUACAAUAUAAGUUUUUUCAAAAAGUCAGUGAUUUUUGCCUAUUUUUUUUUGGUUAGAUUUAUCGGGGCCUUAAAGUUUCAUUUUGCAAACUUACCCGCAAGUUGCGCCAUAGGUUUGAAUUUCAUCAGUCAUAAAAUGUGUCUGCCAAUCUGGCAGUCAUUAUCAGUCAUAUACAUAUACAGUCAGUCUUGAAUGACAAUUAACGUAAUUGAUAGUCAAGACUGACAGUGUAUGGGGGGGAGGCUUUAAGUGUAUUACACUUACAUUAGAUUAGAUAAGGUUUGUAAAUUAAUAAUCACAAUUGUUAGGCUUUUCCUCCUUUUGUUUAUUAUUGUAUAAUUUCUAUUUCUGAUAACAACAACCGAAAAUCUGAACACAAUAAGCAGCAACCACUAUAUUUAUAAUUAAAUAAAAAUGUUAGGAAUCGAAUAAAAUUAAAUCGUUUUCCUAUAUCAGUAUACAAAAUCAGUAUUAUUAUAUUGUUAAUCGAAUAAAAAUACUCGAAAAGUUUUCGUCGUAUCCAAUGAAAAAAAAAUAAAAUAAAAUAAUAACUGAGAAUAUUUUCCAAAAACGUUCAUUAUUAAAGUAAUAUUAUUGUUAUGAUUAUUAAAAAAAAAAAAAAAAACAAUCCAAAAAAUGUAUAUGCUUGCUUUUUUUUUUUGGCUUUUUUGGCUCGAUAUACCGAAACAACUAUUUGGCGUGCAGGUCGAAUGUGAUUACUAUUAUUAUAUUAUAAAUAUCGCAUAUUUGUGUAAUUAAUACAAUUAUACAUAAUUUUUACUAUUAUUAUAAUACACAACAUUUUGGCAAAUCCAGUUUUGCGUUAGGAGUCAAAUAAAAAGGGUGGUUGGGUGGAGGCAAUACAAAGCUCCAAAACAUGGUCGACUAUAGUUAUGGCUCUAAAAUGUACGAGAAUACAAAAAAAAAGAUUCGCGUUAUAUUGGAAAAAUAACAUUUCAAUUUGAGACUUUUCUCUUGUAAAUGGGAAUUCGCUUUAGUUCUUAUCGGUGUUUUUUUUUCGUUUGUUUUCUAACUUCUGUCGGGCUCAUAUCGAAAAGUAUUAUUUUCUGUGAUGACCUUUCGCUAUUCGUAUAAUAGUUAUUCAACGAGAGGUAGUAAAUUAUUUUUAGUAUCGUUGUCGACGUCGUGAAUGGGCGGGCAGCGAGAAACGUUUCCGCGGUGACUGCGUAUUUUUUUUUAUCGACUCGCACCCCCACCCAUUUGCAACCCACUCUCUUUCUACACGUUCGUAGAAUCUCUACGCCACCUUAUAGCAGACCUUAAAGCGCAAAACAUUGUAUAAAUAAUUCCGUGACGUUAUUCGGAGUUCUUUUAGAGUACGUUUUUAUAUUUUUUACUGAUCCGGACACCUCGACUACGGUAUGGAUUUUUCUAGAAUGCUAUGUAAUAUACAAUUAUUCUUUAUUACUAUACUUAUAUUACUACUAUCAGUAGCGUAACUGUGAGGGGCAACGAGGGGGUACUUUCCCCUCUGACAUUUUUUGGUGGUAAAGGUAUCAUUUUUCCUUUCUCCCCGGAUAAUCCAACAGUACAAAUCUUUAAAUUUUCUUAAGUUAAGAAAGACUGCAAUAAUUUAUUAUUCACCAAUAUAAAAUAUGUGUAAAUAAUAUUUAUACUAGUUAAUUUUUUAAACUACUUACACCACCUUUUUAUUAAUGAACUCUUAUGCAGGUUAAUAUUAUUUAAAAAUAUGGAUAUCUAAGUACCUGCUACCUACAAUUUAUUUCUAAAUCAUAAAAUGAGUUUUAAUACUUGUGUAAAAACAAAUAGUUAGGUAUACCGUAUAUAAUACAUACAAUAAAAAUGCAUUUAAACUGGGUAGGAAACUCAAGGUUUUGAUUAUGGUGAAUACAUUUUUUUGCUCCUGUCCCCUUUGAUUUGUAUCCAGUUAUGUCAUUCACUACUAUUACUGCAACUAUACCGGCUCUGAUCACCAUGUGGUGUAUUUAGGAAUUUAGAAACCCCCAAUCUUCUAAAACUAGGUAUCAUAUUAUUUAUUUAUUGUCAAUACCAUCUCUCUCUUUCUCUCUCUCUUUCUGUUUGCCAGCAUUACUCUAUUUAUUUCCCUCAUCUUUUGUUGUCUGUUUUAUAAACUAUUCUAGUAUGUAUGAUUCUUUCCGAUACAUGAUUUGACACUUCUUUAUUUGAUAUUUUAUCAGUCCAGUGUAUUCUUAACAUUCUUCUGGAAUACGAUAUUUCGUACGCUCUUUAAUAAUAAUCACUAUAUUUAUACUCGUAAAAUAUUAUUUCGGCACAAAACAAAAUUGUACGGCAAUAAAUACCUUUGCUUAGUACGAUGAGAAAUAAUAUUGUAUUAUCUAUAAUAUGCCCAACGAAGUAAUAUUUAAUGUUUCAGGUUAAUAAUCGAAUGGCUAAUGAUAGUAUGAUACUAAGGUGAAGUAAAACUCAGAUACAUUUCAAACAAUAUUUAAUAGUCGUGACAAAAAUUUGUGUACUACUGCAAAUUAAAAAUGAUAAAAGUCACUGAAUACGGCGUUUUUUUUAUAAAAUUUUGUCUGUAAUUUAUCAACAUACUUGUAUGUAUAGUUUCCUGUAUAUAAUUUUCUAUACUCCGUGUUUAGCAAAAAUCUCUUUAGGUUGUCUUACAAUAACUUAACAUUUGCUUACUUUACAUUUCAUAUUUUUAUUUUUCUUAAAUUGUUCAUUGAACAAUUACUAAAAUAUAGUUAUUUGUUGUUUUGAAUGUUAUAACAUUUUAAUAGUAUCAACAUCAUGAAUAAUCACAACACAAACAUUUUAAAAAGCCUGACACCAUAUUUAACUAAGAACCUGGUUGAUUACCAAAAUCUACACUUUUUCUCUGAUAUCAAUAUAUAUAUAUAUAUAUAUAUAUAUAUAUAUAUAAAACGUUUCUUUCUCAAUUAACUUGUUAAAAAUAAAAUUAUUAUUUUGAGGAUGUACAUGACAAAUAUUGAUUUUAUUUAUUUUUAUAAUAUGAAAACCGUGGGGGCUGAAAAAUAUUUUAUCAAGCUCAUGGGGUGAGCCCCCCUGUAUACGGUGCUCCUGUUUGCUUACAUAGUUUUCUACUUUUAAUAGCUUGCCUCGCAAUAAUAUUCCCUAUAGCUACACGUUGGGAAACCAUCUCAGGACAAUAUAUUAUUAUCUAAUUUGCGUUUAGAAAUAUUAGAAAAUACUUAAAAUAGAGAUUAUAAUUAUGAAAUAAAUAUUUAUAUUUGCACACCCUUUUAAAUAUUAUAUUCAUAUAAUAACAAAUAUAAUUUUACAUAAUAUACAUAAUAUAUAUAAUAUGUAUAUAUAUUAUAUAUAAUUUCUAUCACAUUAUAUAUAUAUUAAAAUUGACUCUUUGCAGUAAUAAACUAACACCUAUAAUGUCAACAAUUUAAAAGAUUGAACUAUUUGUUAAGAUUUGUUAAUUGUAGACGUUUCCAUUUUGUUGAAUACAUUCUUAAAAAGCUAUGAAUAGGACCAUACAGUAUCCUAAGUAUAUGUCUGCAUAGUUACUAUUAGGGUUUUAAAUUUAAAAAUAGAUUAUAUGAAUUUUGUUCAUUUUUCAUAAAAAUUAAAUAUUUCAUGAAAUUUUAGAACCUUAUUUAAAUGACCUGACUACAUUAUUAUUAUAAUUUUAUUCAUUGAGUGAUUUGACAAUUUCCUCUUAUAUGGUCUUAUAUUUUUUCGAGUACUCUGAUUAUUAGAACAUAACACUUUUAAGCCGAAACAAAUUCCUUGGCUACAAAAAACAAACAUGCAAUUACUAGAAGUCCUAGACGACCCUAACAUACUAUAUUAUACGUAUGUUCGCUGCGCAGUAUGUUUUCCACGGCUACCGAACACGUGUAUUUGACGUCCGGAAAUUUGCGUUUUAUAUCGUAAACAACAAAACUCGAAAACGAUUCAAUUAUUUAUCAUUAAUCGGAUCUCCGUCACUUGAAUGCGUAUUAACUGUUUGUUUCACCCUCUCCGAAAACUCCCGGUCACUCGAUGCCCGUCAUCGCCGCCGCCGACCGCGUUUCUAUCGUCGGUUGCUCUCCGCACGACACGAUAAAGCACCUGCUGGUUCUAUUAUUUCUCUCUCUCUCUCUCUCUCUCUCUCUCUUGUUCUUAUGUUUCCCAUCGCACAAAUGGCACGAAAACUUUCCAUCCACAGCUUUCGCCAGAGAGAGAAUUAACCUAUAAUCAGACUUUGGUUAAAAUUAUUAUCAAUGUUUGUGUGCUGAUUUUAUUCGAUAUUUUAAUUUUUAAGCGAGACAUGAACUUGUGAAAUAUUACAAAUUAAAAAUCUCUAUAUCUUACAAAAAAUUUAAAGAUCUGAAAAAUAACAAAGUACAAACAAUUCCUAACCUUUAAGUUUGAUAAUAUGUCAAUUUACUUUAAUAUUGAGACGAACAGAAAAAAAUCAGUCCUACUGAACGAAUAUUUGAGGGAAUAUAUAGGAAACAUACAUAUAGAAGUAUUGCAAGUACGAGCUAUAGACAAUAUUAUUAUUUGAUUGUUCACCCCUUCUACGCUCCUUCGGCCAAAGCCGGCACUCGAUUACAUACAUACCGUUGACCAGAGGGAUAUGGAUAUUGGCGGCUAUACAAAAUGGAGAACUUUUGCUAAAUUAAAUUAAUAAUCCCGAAAUGUAAUUUAAUAACGGCCUAAAGUGCUGUUGCUGUGUACGCGUAUAUUUGCCGCUGAUUAUCGCGCCAACAAAACGUGCGUAGCGUAGUUCUAUGUCGACAUAUAUUUUAUGCUUGUGCACAGUCACCACACGGACAAUCCUCGCGAAACCUUAAUUAACUUUUAUCGAAUAUUUUAUACGUGACCGUAUCGGUUUAUACCGCGUUUAAACGUGUAAGUAUACCACCGCGAAGACCAGACUAAUAAUUAGUAUUUCUCGUACGAUUCAUAAAUACGCCACGUGCCAACAAAUACAAUCACGCACAAAGAAAAUGUAAAAUAUUCGUUUAUUUGAUACAAAAUUAGUUAUAUAGAGAGCGGAGAUUUGUAUUUUCUUAAAAAAUUGUUAAAAUAUGUUACGUAAUGAAUAACGUACGAGUAUACCUAAUAUGAUAUUGUAAUUGGCGUUUCGAAAAUAUAUUUGUUGUAUAAUAUAUUAUUCUUAACAAAUAUUUGCUUUUAUAAUAUAGUCUCUGAAUAAGAAUAAAUACUUUUUUGAAUUUAGGAAUUAUACAUAAUUAUAAUAUCCAACAGUAAUCACACACAAAUAAAGAUGUAGAAACCUCGAAUAGUAGCAGUAGAUUUUUUUUGUGUUUUGAGAAAAACAGUAAACUGGUGUCAAUUGAAGUGUUUUAAAUAGGUACACACAAAUAGGUGUACAAUACUGAUGAGGCGUGUCACUAUUGUAGGUUGAAAGUUGAUAAGGUAUAAAAUCAUACUCGUAUUAAUGCGUAAGCAGUGUAGGCGUACUUUGUGGUCAAAACAAAAAUAAUUGAGUUUAAUAUAGUAUUUUUUUUUUAUAUAUAUAUAAGAAUUUGAAUAUCGAAUUUUGUCAAAAAUCGUUUUAGUAAAAAUUAUGUGAAAAAAAUCCAGUUACCGGUCCAUACAAAUUUUUUAAUAUAUAAUUAUUUUACUAUAAUAUGAGGUAUUACAUAUUAUUGAAAAAGCAGUGCUAUUAACCAAGCUCCGUUCAGAAUCGUUUUUCAUCAAUAAAUAAUAUUUGCUUACAGAUAUACAUUUAAUUCCCCUCUAUAUUCUACCUUCCCAACUUCUCAUCGGCAACAACUAGUGGACCACCUAUCAUAAGAAGCAUGCCCGUCUUUUUUAAAACUCAAUCGCAACGAAAUAACAAAAUAAAUUAUAAAAGAUAACGUUUCACUAUACGCUCAGAAUCAGAAAAAUAAGACAAAUUGAACAUGAUCACCGCGAUAUCGUAAAUUGAAUUUUGUACGCCGAGCAAUAAUAUUAUGUAAAUAUUGUAUUAAUAAAUAUUCAAAAAUAAUUACUACACAUAUACGUGUACAGCCAAAACAGUGUAAACGUUAUGUUUACGACUGUUUUAGGGGUGUCAUCACUAUAUCCGUUCCAUUAUCGUGCAUAUUUGAUAAUUUGUACAAAUUAUACAUACCUAAUAUUAUAAAAUAAUGUACAAUAGUUAUAUAGCUAUACAAUUAUAGUUUAUACAGCUUUAAAUAAAGCCAUUUGGUUUUUAUUGAUAUCAAUACAUAAAUAAUAAAAUUAAAAUAAGUUAAAUCUCGUGUUAAAACACGCUAUAAAUCUAACUACUAAUAUGUGUUAUAUAGGUAAAAAAAAAAUACAAUACUUCCUUAUAUGGGUGGGCCACUGUAGUAGGGAAAAAGCUGGGAAUUUAAUUCAUGUAAUCAUAUUUAUACUUAACAAUAAUUCAUUACUAUUGAAAAAUGAAUCAAAGCGAAGGUCGUUUAUACAUAUUUUGAAAGGCUGUAGUAUUUAUCUUUUUAGUGAAAAUGUUGAUAUUUAAAUUGCUAUAAAAAAAAAAGAUCUGAUACUGGGGAUUGGAGUGGUCACUGUUGUAGGUAAGAAAUUGGGAAGGUAGGAUACAUAAUGUUAUUUCAUUUAUAUCUGUAGACAACGAUAAACCGUAUCUUGAAGAAAGACGAUUCCGAGCGCAAUUCGGUAAUACGUAAUUUAAAGUACCGUAAAUAUUUUUGCGAUUUUCGUUUAAAUUUGGUUUCAAAAUGCUUGAAACUAAAAAUGAAAAAGGUCGUCCGAUCAUUUUGGAAACUUUACCACGUCUAGAUAAGGUAUCUUGACAUUUAUUGACUAAAGCAAUAAUUCUAAUGUAAUAUAAACAUAAUUCGCAAAAAUUAAAAAUCAUAAAAUCGGUAAUGCCGUGGCACAUCGUAAAUAUUUACCGUAUUGCCUAUAAUUUAUUUUCCGGUUUUUCUCGAUUAUUAUUAAAACAUCUUGAAAAUCAAAAAAUUACUUCUUAAAACUAGAUAACAAUUUUUUUCAAAGAAGGUGCUAAACUUGAAAUCCCGGAGUGAGUUUUCUGGGAGACAUUUUGUUUACAGAAUAAAAAGAAAAAGGGGAAAAAAAAUAAGCAUCGUUGCACUCAGAAUCUAAAAAAGGAAUAGAUAUAUAAUAUUAUAUGGAAUACACUGUGAUCAAAUACCGGAAAUAUAAAACCAUAAUAUUAGUAUAUUGAUGGAUACUUGUAAUGUAAUUUUUAUUGUAAUAGUAAGUAGUGUUAUAAUUACAUCCAAAAAUGAAUAUAAGUUGACAAUCUGGACUGUCGUAAUGUGGCAGUUUAACAUAAUAUAAAAUUUUUAAUUUUACUGCAAUAGCAGUUGUGUUAAUUAAUGUUUUAAUAUUUGGAAUACGCUAAUAGGUACCGUCAAAAUAUAAUAUAAAAUAUUAAAUUUUAGUGAAAAAUAAAAUUUGAAAUAAUAAUUACACAAAUGCAUGAUAGGUUGUGAGUUUAAAAUCAAAAUAUGGUAGUGGUUACACCUUCAACUAUAACGACGUAAACAAUAAGGGCAAUAUAUUAAUUCUUAAUAUAUAUUAUUCCAAAAAGUUUCACAAAAAUAAUUUAUUUAAAAAAAAGCAUUCUAUAGUGAAAUUCACUAUAACUUAAAAUAAACACUUACAUAAUCUAAAUACAUUGGUAAUGGUUUAAACCAGUGUUGAGUUUAGACAAUUUCUCUGGGAGGAUUAAUUUUUUUUCAUUGGUCAUUUCAAUAUAAAUUGGAAAGGGUAACGAGUACUGUACAUUUAAUAAAUAAAUCUUGUUGACAGUUAUUAUAUUUUUCAGGAGGGGAGGCCAAUGAAAUUCUAGAGGGGGCAUUCGCCCCCCCCUUGAGUAUACCUGGAUUCAACACUGAUUUAAAUGCCAGAAAAAAUAUAAUGUCAUUGCAUUUGAAUCCUUAUUUAAUACACCAAUAGGUAUAAGUCAUUAAUUAAUCAUAUUAUAUAAAGUUAAUUUAAAUUCUAAAAAAUACUAAUUUUUAUUUUUUACGUAUACCACAUUUAUGUAUUUUAAACUGAAUAUUGUUUUGUAUUUUGGUAUCACAAAUUAUAACAAAAUAAAAUUUUAUAAUUUAUCUAAUAAAUUAUUAUUAUUACAUAUAUGUAUAAUAUUUAUCUAUACACACAUCGUACAUUUUAUGUAAACUAGAUUACAGGACUAAGCAAAUUAAUGCGAAUAAUAAUUAAUAUUGACUCAAUUAAGUUAUGUUGAUUGAGAUAAGUUAAAAUUUAAUUUGAGAACAUAUAGGUACCUAUUUUAAAUUUGGAACUCAUACACACUUUAAAAAAAAAAAAAAAUUGGUACCAUCAACGUAUAUAGAAUAUUAAUUUAAUAAUGUGCAAUUAAUGUAACAACAAAUUGAUACAAUUGACUUAACAUGGUAUAAUUCAAAAUAUAAUUGUUUAUUUAUUGAGUCAAUGAAAAUAAAUAAAAGUAAUAAGUUAAGUUUAAAUGAAAAUGUCAAAGAUUAGAAGCUAUAUUAAAAAUUAAAAUAAACUUAAUUUUUUUACUAUUUGCCCACUGCCUAACACUGUAAUAAAAUGAUCGCAUUGAUCUAUAUCACGUUAAAAUAAUAAUAAUAAUAAUAAAGGGUUAAAAAAGUCGAACAUAUUUAUAAAUAUAAUUCAGGUAGAGUCUAGAGAAUAAUAUAUUAUGUAUUAUAUAAUGAUAAAAUAAUUAAAACAUACAUGAUGUUAAAUUUGAUAUUUUAUUUUUAAAAAAUAAAGCGGACUAUUUAACUGUGUAUAUAUUAGUACACAAUACAUACCUACUCUUUGAUCCGUCCAUAAUGAAAUGCAUAUUAUUCUGUUUUAAAUUUACAUUUAAUAUUUAUAUUAUAGUAUAGAUUACAUUAUUUGUGCGUUUAACAUACUAAAUCUUCAAAGAAAAAUAAAAAGUUCCGUAGAUACAACAUUUAAAUAAAAACAAAAAACAAUAAAAUCUCCUACAUACUCAAAUUUUGAUUAAACGAAAAACUAAUAACUAUAAAAACCGAAAAGCGACAACUCUUACAAUCGGAUUUUAUUCUAAAACUCCAUCCAUACAAUCAUUAAAAUAUCCGUAUACUCAUGCAUGUAAUAACGAAUAAAACGUUUACAGUUAAAAUAGGGAAGGAUAAUAAACUUCAUAUUAUCCAAUUUAGGAUGGUAAAUUGAUCAUCGUGUAUUUAUUUGGUCUAUUUCAUUAAUAAUACUUGUUUGUACCAAUAAUGAACAUAAUUUGUUUCCUAAUAUUUUUUAAAAAGAUUAACUAUGUUACUAAUAAUUAAUACAUUAUUUAUGUUACCUUAUUAGGAAUAGGGUAAGUGUAGCUUCUUUAUUUGUAAUUGCGGAUUUGAUUAUAACAAUAUAUUCUUUUUAUGAACAUUAAAAAUACAUUAAUAUUAUUAAAAGAAUAAGGGGAAUUGUAUAGGCAACAUAUCAAACUUCAAUUUUAAAAUGUUGAAAAUUUAUAAUAAUGUUACAUUAAAAAUGAAGAUAAUCAUAAAAUCGUAAUAAACAAUAAUAGAAUAAUAUACAUUUUUUGAAUGAUGAUUUAUUUGUACAAAUUCAGUUAAAUCUAAAAUUCAAACAUUAUAAUAUUAUUAUUCGAGGAAGAUUAACGUUUUCUUACAAACUACAGAGCUAACGCGCUCUAUUGGAUUAAACUUUCGAUAUAUCGGAAUGAAUACUAAAAUGAUAAACGCAGUAUUAUAUUAUGUUACGUGAUUACUAAUAAUAUAUGUAAAAAUAAUAUAAUAUUCGUUGAUUGGAAAAAAAAAAUACAUAGUGUUUAUAGUUGGUCAUAUGUAAGUAGGUACCCAUAAUAUCUGUAGAUGAAUUCAUUUGCAUUUCGAAUACCUAAACAUUUGUAUUAAUUUAAUAGGUAUUUAUUUUAAUUUCAACAACGAAAUGUAAAGUAUUUAAAAUAGGUAUAUUGAUACCUAAUUUGUAUAAGAGUGCCUAUGGAAUAUUAUGGACGGUAUAGGUAGGUAUAACGGAACCAAAAUAUGAAUAUAAAAGUAUUAUUAAUUAGUUGUACAUUUUUUUUUUACUCAUACAAUAUUGUAUAAAGUCCUGUUUUAAAAUAGUUAUAUAGAUAAAUACAAGGGAAUUUGAAUGGCUAGAAUAAUUGCCUAGAUAAAAAUAAACUAUCACUGACCAGUAACUUUUUAUUUAGAUCGAAAACGAUAUAGAUGUAACUUUUAUUAAACAAUACGAUUAUAAAUUAAAUAUUAUUGUUAUUGUUAUUUCUAUUAGAUAAAUAUUAUAAAUUACGAUUUUUAAAAAAAAUACAUCUAAAUUAUCCGAUUAUGUAUCUCAGGCAACGGCUCAAAUAACAUAUUUCUUAUUUAUCUAGAAAAGAUAAAAAAUUAUAUUAGGUAUGUCAAGAUAUUUUCGUAUAUGUAAUAAAAAAAAAAAAAGAAGAUUAAAUGGACGUUCUCACAAGGGGAGAUAUGGGGGAUGACAGAUUUUCCAUAGACUUUUUUGUUUAUUUUGAAUACCGAAUCACAUGUAUUGUUAUUAAUCUAUGAAUACAAAAAUUCCCGAGAAUCACUGUCGUAUAAUAUGAUGUAGGUAUAUUUAAUCUGAAAGGAUUACAUUUUUUAAUAUCUUUAUUUACAAAUAUUGUAGAUUAUAAAAGGGUUAAUAAUUUGUAUUACCAUUGUAAUUAUUGUUGUACAAACAUAGAAAAAACGUACAUUACCGCAAGAACGUAAAAGUUGUCUAAUAAUAAAUCAGCGUAAAUGCGUAUAAUAUUAAUAAUUAUUAUUUAUUAUGAAACAUAUUUUAUUGUUGGUGUAGAACAAUGGUUCUCAAUCUUUGUGUGUGGGUAACCCAGGAUAACACACAUGACUCGUGUGACUUUUUUGUUAAUAACUUUCAAUGGUCAUAACUAAAAGAAACUAUAAAUUAUCAUCCAUUUAUUUUUUAAGAUUAAACGAGAAAUAUGUACCAUGUGAAGCUUGCAAUAUAAAUUAUUGAGACCAAAAAAAAUUCGGAUCAACAACUAAUCAAAUUUAAUCGAAAAACUAUAUGUAUAGUAAUGAAAGACCAAAGUCCAAAAUUAUUAAUUUAUAUUUGUUUGGCGGCCUAUUCAAAAUUAUUCGUGACGCUAUGGUUAAGAAACGCUGGUACGGAUUACAGUAUUUGUUUCUGUCUUAUAAAAAUCAAUUAUAAUUUGUAUAAAUUAUAUGAUAUUUAAAAAAUAGGCGAACAUAUACCUCGCAACAUUAACCACUGAGUUGUAGAGGGGAAAUCGGAACUUACGGGAUUUACGGUAAUUAUUUAGAUUAUUUUCUAAAAGCAACAAUUAAUUGCUGUGAUUGAAAAACUAUUUUGUGCACAGCGUACUAAACUGGUAUAACUAGGGAUAAAAAUGACGGACAAUUUACAAAAAAAAAAUGAAUUUUUUUAAUAUAAAUUUAAUACAUUUCAGAAAAAAAAACCCGUUUUUUGAUCAAUUACAAAAAAAUAAAAAAUAUCCGACAAAAUACUUUCAACAUAAAAGGUAAAAUUACCUACAUAUAAUUUCUUAAAAUUAUAUUUUCAUGAAUUACUCUAAUAUAUUAUUUUAUUUUUAUGUUAUCUAGAUAAUAAAAUAAUAAAGUAAAAACAAAAUUAUUAAAAUGGUCAAUGCUCGCAAAUAAAUAAAGUAAUUAAAUAUAUAAAUAAAAAUUGCAUGUAUAAAAAUAAAAUAAAUAAAUGAAUCAAUGCGUCACCUGGAGUAUUAUGAUAAGUAUUAUCUAGAAAAUCUUUAUUUUGGAUAAAUCUUUAGUCUUUAUUAUUUUUCUGUAUCUUUUAUCUACAUAAAAUAUUAUCUUUCCUAACACUGGUAAUACGGUAAUACUGGUGCUAUCGAUUUAAACUUUAAAAACGUAAAAUUCGUUUUUUUUUGUUUUUUUAUUAUUAUUUGUACUGAACAAGAUACAGAAAUGAUUAACUUUCUCGUCGUUAUACUCCUUCCUCCAUCUCAAACUAUUUUACUGUAUAAUAAUACAUUUAUACUGGUCGUGAUAUCUUGUAAAUCUUUUGAAAAUUUGUUAAAGGCUGCUCUAUAUAAUUUUAUGUUUUUCCCUCAGAAAAUAACGUUACAAAUUAAAUCGUGAAAAUCGUCUGCGUGCAUUCGAUACACUUUCUAACAAAUCUGUAAAUUAUUAAGAAUGCAUUAAUUAUUCAAACGAAAUUAAUAUUUUCAUAUAAUUCGGUUUGUAUGUUAAUGAAAAAUACAUUAUUCGAGAAACAUAUACCUAAAUAAGCAUACUUGUCCUGCGGAGACACUUUGCAAAUUAAAAUAUAUAAAAUAAAUACAUAGAAAAGUUCGACAUAAAAAUAUAUUAAAAAUAUAGUAACAAAAUAAAAAAUACAAAACAUAUUAUUGUCUCAAGUUGUUGUUUUUACUGCCAAUGCAUUCUGUGGAUUACGGAAUAAUAUUUACAAAAAAAGUUUCAAAUUAAAAUUAAAACUCUAAUAAUUACUAUGAUAAUAUCAACUUUUGAUCUUCAAAUAAUACAAACCACCACAAUGUAAUGAAUUGAAAAAAUGUUUCUUAAAAUCAUACGCAUAAAAAAUUGCAUAUCCAUUUUCUACAGAUGAUAACUCUUCAAAGUUUAAAAAGUUUAUAUCACGUGUUUUUGAUAUAUGUGGAAUAAUCAGAGUAAAAAUUUAGAUUAGGUUAGUUUAGGUUAAUGUUAAAUAAUGUGAAGAUCAUUUAACGAUUCUCUAUAGAAUAUAACAGUUGUAAAAAUACUAAAACCAAUUUUACUCAAAAUCUACGUAUCUACGAAAAAAAAUACUUUUUAAAAAUCAUAGCAACUAUUAAGAUUAAUACAAGAAAAUUAAAAAAAAUAACUCCCCAAUAUACUAACUUCACCGAAUUUCCCACCAUAAACCACCGCUAAAGUUGAUGAGUAUUAUUUCUGACAAAAAAAAAAAAACAUCACGAGUCAUCAUUCAAACUACAUAAAGAACGGUAAGGUAUAUGAUAAUAUUAUUAAAUAUUUCGUGUUGCCGAAAAUAUUAGGGUCCCGCUUAUAAAUCCACCCUAAAAAAAAAAAAAAAAAAUAAUAAUAAACUGAACAUUUAUUAUUUAUUACGCGUGACAUGUUUAUUAUGUAUUAUAUCCCGAACAUUUAAAAAAUUAAUAAUAAACAAUUUAAAAAAAAGUGUCAUACACAAAUAAAAUUAAUUCUGUCGAAUUUGAACGAAAAUAGUUAUUUUUGAUAACAUACAGAAUUGUAAACUUAUAAAGUACCAUCAUAUACAUAUAUAUUAUGUAUAAAUAAUACAAAAAAAACAUGUUAUUAAAUAUAAAUCAAUUACCUACAUUAUUAUUAGUAAGUUUACAUUAACAUUUCAAUAAAAUUUGACGUUAAAAUAUAUAAAGUUAGUUUAAGUACCCCAUAUGAAUAACAAGGACCAAGAGCAGAGCAGAACCAAAGCAAAUUUGGACACCACUAAAAUUUUUUUCAAUCAUAUCCUCGCUUUGUAUUCAAUAGUCAUCACCAAGGAGGAAAAUUUAACUUUUUUCCUGAGUUACACUCUCCAUUACACCUGUCCCCACCAAACAAAAACCCCUUUAUUAACUUUUUGCAAUAUUGGAAAAAUAGUAUUAAAUAAUUAUUUAUAGAAUAUUUGUUUAUUAACUCGGGGUUAAAUAGAAUACAUUGUUUUGUUACCUAAAACCAGGGUUGGGUAGUACCAUCGAUACAAGUGUCUUAAAUAAAAUCAUUGUAUGUUAUAUGUCGCAUCACAGUAUAGUUCUAAAAAUAUCGAGUGACUAGUAACUUGUAAAUUGUAUUAAAAUACUGAAAUAAAUGUAUACCUAAUACAGUGUCCACAUAAAAUAAUUUAUUUUGAAGUAUUUAACUAACAAAACAACGUGUUAAGUCAGGAAGUCAUUCAAAAUUUUUACCAACUGAUUAUGUUUAGAAUAGUUAACAAAAAUAACGUUUCCACUUAAUUAUGACAUACAUGCCUCAACGCUUUGGUAUUUGCAAAAAACGUGCGACACAGCAUAACGAAUCGUGUCACAAAAAAAAAAAAGUAUUUACAUGUUAAAUUACAAUAUAGUUGACGGUGAUACACGCGAUAAGUAUACAGUUGUCAUUUAAUAUAUUUUUGGACCGUGUCGUGGUUGAAUACGGUGGAAAUUUGAAAAAUUGAUAAUAUUAAAUAAAUACAUAUUUAUACAUUCGUAUACUCUCGUAUUAUAUUUCUCUUGUGUGUGCACUUCCGAGUGUGUGACGGGGCGUCGGAGACUGUGAAAAACCGACGGUCCGAGAGAGCGAAAAUAUUAUUAUAAUAUUUCGUUGGCAGCAACUUAUUACGGAAAAAAAAAGUAAUUAAGCCGGUCCGGGUGAUGGUGUAUAAUAUAUAGGAGCGGAGGACUGACGAAAAAAAAAAGAUAAACGAUAUAUAUAUAUUUUUUCGUAACGAGAAUAAAAAACAAACUUUUUUGCGGUCUUCGACUGCUCGUGUGCGGUUCUUAAAUUCAUCCAAGAGAUUAAACACGCGGACGCCCUUCCUCACCAACCUCCUUCCCCUAUCUAUCCCCUCUUCCACCGACUUUGGCUAACAAAGAUUAAUUCUUUCGAGACCGACGCCUAACCCUUAACUCCCACCCCUACCCUAUGCGUACGUACGUACGUAUAAUACGUACGCACAUAUACGCCUCGUAGACCCCUCCAGAGCCCCUUAAUUAAUCAUACACGCUAUAAUGUAUAUAUAUAUAUAUAUAUAUGUAUAUUUACAGUGUGUGUACAAAGUGUGUGCGCGUAAAAAGAAAAAUGUUUUCGUCCACGUUGUAAUGGGGUUUUUCGGCGUGGGGCGUACGGUGCUGCUGCAGUGGAAAUGUACGUGCGUGUGAGUUUAAGUAUAAAAUAUGUUACACGAGUGGUGCAGCAGCACUAACAUGUCGACGGCGGGAAAGUCGAAAUUCGAAAACGUUAAUUUCCUUUACCCCGCGCUCGUCUCUUAUCGCAUCGUUUUAUAUAGUGCCCUCUGGUCUUAUAUAUUACGUUAUUUUUUACACCACCCAUUAUACUUUACCGCCUCAAAAAUAAUUAUUUUCAAACUAUAUUGACCCCGUCAAUGGCCGCAACCGCUCGUCCUCGAUACGCAACCAUCCCUCCAUAUACACGCAAUAACGGCAAAAUAAAUAAAACGAUAAACUUAUAUAAGUACAUAGCUAUACAUAUUAACUAUUAUACAGCUAUUCAUACGGAUAUUUACAUACUAUAGACUAUGUGUUUUGCAAUAGCGUUGAAUCGAAUUUGAAUGAUAUACUGAAAAGCUAAAACUGUAUGUUUUACCGACCACCCGUGUGUAUUCGACUUUUUCUGGAGCUUUUUCGAAAUAUACAUAUCAUAAUAAACAAUACGUACUCACAACCAGUUCGGUGAUGGGAUUGUAUCUAGAUGAAAUUAUCAAACAGCUAAUCUAGAACACGAAAUAUUCUAGAUAUAACGAUGAUGUACUAUAUCUCUCGUCUACCAUAAAUAAAACCAAAAUAUCUGCAUUUUAAAAUUAUUUUUUUAUUUAAUAUGUAGAUAAUAGAUAUACUAAAUAGGUAUUAUAUUAAAUUAUCAUACAGCUCAAUUUUUUUGUUCGUCUUGGCAGUGGCGUAUAUAUAGGGGAGGAUUUGGGGUUCAACCCCUUCCCGAAAUUUAUAGUUGGUACAACACACAUGCGUAUUUAUGAAUCUAUUUAAUCUAUGUAUUAACUAGAAUCCAAAAGCUUUUUUAUAACCCCCCCCCCCAAAUUAAUUUUUAUAUACGUCACUGAAUUUUGGUAAUUCACAAAUAUGCCAUUAAAUUACGUAUAUGAAUGUUUUUUUACAUACUAUAAAAAUUGAUUUUUUAUGUUCAAAAAGAAAUAUUAGAGAUUAUUCAUAAGUACUUAUACUAAUAUUAAUACCUAUAUUAUCAUAAAUAUUUAUUAAUAUGUUUUGAAUCUAAAUUAUAUCUACAUUUAUACUUUAAGUAUAAAGUAAAAACAAAACAACCCAAAAUCCACAAAUCUACUAUAAACCUAUAUAGUUCAAACAAUGAUGGUAAAUUUUAUUAUAAAAUAUAUGUUAAAUUUAUGCAUUCUUUUCGUAUAUUUAAUUAUAUAUCAACGGUAUAUUGCAACGUCACGAACACUGUGCAGACUGGUGGCAGCGGUGGCUCAUCACGGUGAAUGGAAUUCACUCUCGAUUUUUCCUUUCUUUUCCGUAUUAUAUAACCCUUGUCUGUAGUCAAACCGACCCCUCGGGUGUUCCCUCACCGUCCGUCUUUCGCAUUUGUAAAGCUCGGUUUUCGCCCCGAAACUCUCUCGUCUCCACGCAUCCACAUCGUCGUCGCAACCCCGCAUCGCGAUUUGCAUAAUGCUCUAUGAAUAAUAAUUCAAUUACAUCACGUCAGCCAAUGGUAUAUUCUCUUUCAAUUUUGUUCCGCCGCCAUCCCCAUUUAAUUUUAAUUUUUUUUUUUUUUUUUACAGCGUUCUGUUUGAAUUUGGUCGAUAUAUACCAUCAUCGUAUUGCUGCAGCAGAUACCCAGAAAUUCGGUUUGUACUUCUGAUAUAACAUACAAUAUAUACUAUAUAUAGAGGUAUAUACCUAUGUACGUAAAUUAACGGGGAAAACAAAACGGGGGGAAAAAAGUCAUAUAUACGCGGUAAAAAGGAUCCACUCAAUUUCGCCAGAAGUGCCUCAAGAUAACCCGCGCGCGGUCGGUUUUGUUUCGCGGCCAACAAAAAGGGUUUUUUUUUUAUCUGUCUCUCCCCGCUUUUUCUCUCUUCUUUUCCACUCGUGCGUGCAGCGUUUUUUUUUUUUUUAUUAUUUCGCUUCCCCGAAGCCUUUUUCGGUUCCAUAUUAUUAUUAUAAUAAUACCUACCUACCCUUUUUUCUCCCGGCCAAUGAGGGUCGAUGCGACGACCAAGUGCCUUGGAGGGGUUUAGAAAAAUCGAAGACACACGGACCCGGGCAGAUAACGACAUUCAUUAAUUCCCGGCAGGGCUCUGGCUACAGCACGGACCGGCCGCGUCGCCAAACUGCGUAAAUCGACUCGCUGCACAACUUUGCCCAUUACGUAUGCGGAAUUCUGGCGGGUUUGAGGAGUAGAGAGAAGGGUUGUUUGCGUUUAUAUAUUGUAUCUUUUUUUUUUCGGUUGGUUUUUCUCGUCCCCUGGCGUCUCGUCGUAUUUAUCAGGCGACAUUUUUAUAUUCGUUUUUUUUUUUUACACUACUCGCGACAUAAAUCUCGAAACUCGAAAAAGUAAAAAAUAAAAAUAAAAAGUAAAUAUAGGCACCUAUAUAUAUCCUAAACUUUGUUAAUUUCUCAUUGAAACACGGCCAUAUAAAAUAUAUACGAUGUACCACGUACGAUUUUAUGAAAAACAAAAUUAAUCGAUGACAAUAUUUAUAAUAUUUACGUUGGUGUUGUUUAUACCUUAAAACAAUAAUUAUUCUUGUAUUAUUACACACGGAUCAGGAUAUCACGGCGACCAGUUAAAAUAUCAUCCUUCCAGUAUAUAUGAGGAGAAUAUCACUCAUGAUAAUAUUGAGUUUUGACCAAAAACUACAAUUUAUAUUAAAUUCUGAGUGGAGCGAAGAAUAUAUUGGUUUUUACAAAGAUGUCUAUUUUUGUUUUUCUGUGGACAACUUUUUUACUACAAUUUUGAACCGAUUUACAACGAUAGCAUUUUUUCUAAAAGAAAAUCUAACUAAGAAGGUACUUUUAUGAGGUCAUUUUUUGAUUUUCCAAAGAGCUUUCAUAGCAAAUGUAAAAAACCGGGAAAAAAUAUGGGAAUAAAGGGAAAAUCGGUACAAUAUUAAACUAAUAUUAUUAAAUAAAAUAUAUGAUGCCUAUUUUAUUAUUUCACUAUAAUAUGACAUAUAUGUAUUGUUGACAAUACAUCAAUAUUAUCUGAACUCAGCUCAGAAUCGUUUUUUUGUUAGUAAUAUUUUAUCGUUGCUUACAGAUAUACAUUUAAUUCCCUUCUGUAUUCUACCCUCCAAUCUUCCCACCUACAACAGCGGCUGCACCGUCCCCAUUAUCCAAGGACAGAUUUAUUUUAUUUUUUUUUAUUUUAGGUAACUAAUAAGUUAUUUACUAAUUUAAACAAAUCAUUAUCCAUAUUGAUUCGGAAAUUUCUAAAAAAUUAUAAAUAGUUUAACUUUCAUAUUUCAUUAAAACUAAUAUAUAGGUAUAGGCAGUGGUGUUUCCAUAGGUAUACUACAUAUAUGUUGUAUACUCUCAAAAUGUUGUAGAAUAAUUACGGGUAUACUUUUAAAUAGUUUAAAAAAGAAAAGACCUUCAUGAUAUAUUAUUAUCAUGAGUCAUUCAUAGCCCUUAUAGUCACGAAAACCGAUAUAGUAAUAAAAAUUGUUUUUAUAUCAGUAAUUAUUAUAAGUAACUGAACAUUUCACGAUUUUCUUACGAUUCAUCUAGGUAAGCUGUUACCUAGUGCUAACUUUAUUCUUAAAUCUUUCGAGUGUUUUGUUUUGAUAAUUUAAGUUUAAUUUUUUGUAUAAUUGAUAUCUAUUUCCCUGUAGACAAUAUAAUUCAUAAGAUAUAUAAAAUUAAAUGGUACAGUAUACUCUCAAAAAAAUUAAUGGGAACACCACUGGGUAUAGGUAUACAAAAAUGUACUAAAACUAAAAAUCUGGAAACAUAUCAAAAUAAAUAAUAAAAUACUUUGCUUAAUAGAACAAAUUUAAAAUCAUUUCGUGAUAUCGAGUAUGAAGAGAAUUGAAAAAAAAUACAUAAAUACCAUUCAAACUUGAAUUUUACGGAUAUUUCGUUAUAAAAUAUGUAUUUCCCUGCUUUAAAUACGUUGUAAUAAAUAAUAAUUAUUAAACUUAAUAUUAUUAGUAGGUAUUUGUAAAUUAUUUACAAAGAGACUGCAUUCGUAUUAUAUCAAAAUUUAAAAAAGAAAAAAAAACGAUUAUUAAAAUAUUUAUUGUAAGAUAAGUAACAUAUAUAUUAUCAUUAUCAAAACGUAAUUUUUUUAAUAUACUGCUGCAGGAUGGCUAAAAAAAAUAUCUGUUAAAAUUAAACGAACUAUAAUACAAACAAAAUAUACAAAAAUUGGGUAUAUUUUAUUGUAUUAUUAUUUUACCGUCAUAUAAAAAAUAAAUAUAUCUAAAUGCAUAUAUGUACAAUAAUUAGCAUGAUAACCCAGCGAAUAAGUUUCUUUUAUAUUGACUUAUUGCUGCUGCUAUAAUCGAAAACAAAAUUAAUUCAUGACAUUUGCAACAGCAUUUCGUUAUUACGUUAUUACAUUUCGUUGUACUGCAUGCUGGCAAAGUAAACGCAAACAACUAAAAUUCAUUGAUUAAGACCAUUCAUAAAUACGUGUAGCUGUACGCAUAUAUUAGGAGUCAUUCAAAAAUCACAAUAAUUCUGCAGGAUUUUCGUUAGGUUUUAUAAACGAAUAAUAUAGAGAUAUUUCGCAUGCCUUGUAAAACUGUAAUAUAUAGUUCGUGCAUCAUCAUUUUGUGUUUAAAAAUUCCGUGUUUUUAUGCAUCAAAACGGUUGCUGUGCAAUAAUUACGGUUUUAUUAAAAAAUAUUGUUUGAAAACAAUUAAUCUUAUCGUAUUAUUGGAUAUGUGUAUAUUAUUACUACUCGAAUAACAUCUCGCGAUAUGAUCGUACAACUUUAUAUAUAUAUAUAGUAGCGUUGCGUGGUAUUUCAAAAAACUACCACGUUUGAUAUAAUAUCUCUUCUAUAUUAAAAUAAUUAGUAUAAAACGUGAACCGGACUUGGAUUGAAAAAAAAAUUGAUAAUAUAAUAUAAUUUCUUUUUUUAAAAAUUCAUGACGUACGAUAUUGUACGUUAAUAGAGUUAUAUAUUCAUAUCCGUACGUAUUAUGCACGUAUAUAUAUAUAUAUAUAUAUGUGUACAGAUGUAUACGAGCGUCUGUCUUUGGUACAAUUUUUAACAGCCACAUAGACACGGUGAUUCUGAAACGAACAAUCAGGUGAAAUUGUACAGUAUUGAUCAACAAAACGUAAACCAUUUAUAUUAUCUCGGAAAGAAUUCAUUUUUUCGGAAUUUGUUUUAUAGAAAAUCAAAGAAAUUCUUCGCAGAUCUAAAAUGUUACAUUUCGGGUAUUUUUUGGCACCCUCAUUAUUCGGGAUGAAAUCACUAACUACAUUUGAUUUUCAAGUAGCAACCAAUCACCAAUAUUAAAUAUUUUGUAAAUUGAUGAAAUGGGUUGACGGGAAUUAAACAGAAAAUAAAAUUUCUUCUAUUUGUGGAAUUAUUAAAAGUAACAAUUAAAACACUUGAUUAAUGAUUGGUCAACAAAAUUAUAGAUUAGUUUGCAAAUUUAAAUAAAGUCUUACUUUUUCGUAUAUUAUAUUAUGUAUAAAUUAUAAUAUUAUGCUAUUGGCUAUCGUCGUAUCGGCGUUAACACCGUACUAUCGAAACCUAUUGUACAACAUAAUAUAGAUUUUAUGCAACUAAUAAAAACAUUUUCUGUUACAGAUUUGAAGAAAAAAUGCACCAUCUUCAAGCUCUUUCGCUGUUUACAAACAUAAGGAUAACAAACCAUUAAUUAUACGACGAUAAAUACGUAUAUACUAUACAAAUAUUGUAAUCUGUUUAAAAAAAAAAAAAAAAUGAAGAACUACUUUAUUGUUACCUAUAAUCUAUAUUAUAUUGUUUAUAGAUUUAAUCAUAUUUGCAUAUUUUAGAGCAUAAUAAUUUACUAUACAUUUUAUUAUUAAGUAUACUUAAAUAACUCAAAAAACAUAUUAUAUUCAUC